GACCGAUCAUUCGAUCAGAAACCCUAACCCUAGCAACCAGUGGCAAUGGCGAGCAACCCCCGAGUCUUCUUCGACAUGACCGUCGGCGGUGCUCCGGCUGGCAAGAUCGUGAUGGAGCUUUUCGCCGACGUGGUCCCCCGAACAGCGGAGAACUUCCGCGCCCUCUGUACCGGCGAGAAGGGGAAGGGCCGCUCCGGCAAGCCCCUCCACUUCAAGGGAUCGAGCUUCCACCGCGUGAUCCCUGACUUUAUGUGCCAGGGCGGUGACUUCACUCGUGGAAACGGCACCGGCGGCGAGUCUAUCUAUGGCGAGAAGUUCGCGGAUGAGAAUUUCGUCCGCAAGCACACUGGGCCUGGGGUUUUGUCCAUGGCUAAUGCUGGGCCUAAUACUAAUGGGUCUCAGUUUUUCAUCUGCACUGCUAAGACGGCUUGGCUGGAUGGUAAGCAUGUUGUGUUUGGGCAGGUUGUGGAGGGGUUGGAUGUGGUGAAGGCGAUUGAGAAGGUGGGGUCGCAGAGCGGCACGACCAAGAAGCCGGUUGUGAUUGCGGAUUGCGGCCAGCUUUAAGCUGGGUUGGAUGGGAUGGGGCUUUCUAAGAUCUAUAUUUUGAUGGGAAUAAUGGUGUUUGAGGGUGAGCUUGUUGCUGCUGGCGGUCUCUUUUAUUUUCUUUAAUGUUAAUUGUCUGGUCUGUUUGUCUGUUUUGAUCAUGGAUCUAUGUUUGGGUACUUGUUCGGUUAUUUAAAAGGAGUUUUACUUUGAAGUUGCUAUUAUUUCGAAAAUUUAGC
rnacentral:misc_RNA from 1 species